GCUGAGCUCAGUUGUGAGAGUUUGUAACCCGAGUGGGGGCAUUAAAGUGAUGUGAACGCUGUUAUAGCGCUGCGGGCCUGGUCUGGGUGUGCUACUGUUGGCCCGUCCGUUCCAAGUUGAGUAGUGGACCGUCUGAGGCCUAUGCGAAAGCUGGGCCUCACGGUCCAUAAUGUGGCAGGCACAGCGUGGGGCUGGCUUCACAGAGCAGCGACAACUGCCCACUUCCAACGGUGGAAGGAUAACGGGCCGCUGCACUCCUAGGCCACUUGGGCCUUGCAGCCUACUCCAAUGAACCAUCAUUUUU
rnacentral:SRP_RNA from 2 species